GACGAACGCUGGCGGCGUGCUUAACACAUGCAAGUCGUACGGUAAGGCCCUUUCGGGGGUACACGAGUGGCGAACGGGUGAGUAACACGUGCGUAACCUGCCCACAACUUUGGGAUAACGCUAGGAAACUGGUGCUAAUACUGGAUAUGUGCUCCUGCUGCAUGGUGGGGGUUGGAAAGCUCCGGCGGUUGUGGAUGGACUCGCGGCCUAUCAGCUUGUUGGUGGGGUAGUGGCCUACCAAGGCGGCGUCGGGUAGCCGGCCUGAGAGGGUGACCGGCCACAUUGGGACUGAGAUACGGCCCAGACUCCUACGGGAGGCAGCAGUGGGGAAUAUUGCACAAGGGGCGCAAGCCUGAUGCAGCAACGCCGCGGGCGGGAUGACGGCCUUCGGGUUGUAAACCGCUUUCAGCAGGGACGAAGCUUUUUGUGACGGUACCUGCAGAAGAAGCACCGGCUAACUACGUG
rnacentral:rRNA from 1 species